UUCAUGGGUCCCACCAGUAUGAUUCUUCACUUUCCCCAUUCUGUAGUCUUCUCGGCUUCUCCGUUCUUCUUUUCUCCACUCAUUCCCUUUCUCAUUUCCUUAUUUUCUCUUCUCACACAAAAAUUGGUUUUGCUGGAUAGCCCUCAUCAGCUUGCUCUCUUCAUCCGCUGUAUUGAGGUUGCUCCUCCUCACCUCAAGCCACCACUGGAGCUGGUGCUGCCACAGGAUGACCAUCGACGGCGGCUGGUUUGGCUCCUCGCCCGCAGCCUCUUGGAUCCAGCUUCAGUAUGAGGGAGCUGGAGACAUUUUCUUCCCCAAGCACGCAAACCAAACGCAUUGCCGCUAUUUCUGCGCGAGGCGGCUCAACACAUCAUUCACAUCCCCUACUGCGGCAACAUUCUUCAAUUCGAACUACAGUUGGUACUUACUUGAGGUGAUCUGAUUGCUCGAUGGAGCCAGCUAGUGUCCGCUGGAGGAAGACAAUGCCGAUGUGCCACUGGUUGGAGGAAGUUGACUUUGAUGUCUCGUUCGCGGGAGGAAGAUGAUGUACAAGAUCGCUGAGUACGCGCUUGAACGUGGCUGCCGGUGCUAUUUCUGAAGCAUGGUUUCGAUGGAAGCCAUCUGCAGGACCAGAUCACCGAUUACUGCUUGCACUCCGCGGACGAAGGAAUAAAGAAGGGAAGAAGACGGAGGCCUGUGCGCGUCGACGAUCUGCUGGAGGGCAAGGCCAAAGGUUGUGGCGGCGCCUAGUUGAAAGGAUGGGAUGGGAGCCUUGCUGGGAAGGAAGGAAACAUCAAGCGAUGAGGGAAGACCUGAUCGUGUGUUCAUUAUUUAGUCUAU